CUGGGACAAAAUUGCAGAGCUGUAAAUAGGAACCAAAAAGAAAAGAUAAACAUUAGGAUUAAACAUAGGAAUGAGACUUCCAAGAACAAUGAUCCCUCUAAGUUUUUGUAGGUGGUGAUCGGGGCAGUGAGGUCACUGGACACUUCCCUCUAAGUCUUUGUAGGUGGUGAUCGGGGCAGUGAGGUCACUGGACACUGUUCCCUCUAAGUCUUUGUAGGUGGUGAUCGGGGCAGUGAGGUCACUAAACACUGUUCCCUCUAAGUCUUUGUAGGUGGUGAUCGGGGCAGUGAGGUCACUGGACACUUCCCUCUAAGUCUUUGUAGGUGGUGAUCGGGGCAGUGAGGUCACUGGACACUGUUCCCUUAAGUCUUUGUAGGUGGUGAUCGGAGCAGUGAGGUCACUGGACACUGUUCCCUCUAAGUCUUUGUAGGUGGUGAUCGGGGCAGUGAGGUCACUGGACACUGUUCCCUUAAGUCUUUGUAGGUGGUGAUCGGGGCAGUGAGGUCACUGGACACUGUUUCCUCUAAGUCUUUGUAGGUGGUGAUCGGGGUAGUGAGGUCACUGGACACUGUUCCCUCUAAGUCUUUGUAGGUGGUGAUCGGGGCAGUGAGGUCACUGGACACUGUUCCCUCUAAGUCUUUGUAGGUGGUGAUCGGGGUAGUGAGGUCACUGGACACUAUUCCCUUAAGUCUUUGUAGGUGGUGAUCGGGGUAGUGAGGUCACUGGACACUAUUCCCUUAAGUCUUUGUAGGUAGCGAGCAGGCAGUGAGGUCAUUGGACAUUGUUCAGUCUAAACCGGGCGACCCAAAACAGUGGCAACUAUAAAUUGUUGUGUAGUACCAAAUAGUUAGCAA